UACGGAGGGCGCAAGCGUUAUCCGGAUUUAUUGGGUUUAAAGGGUCCGUAGGCGGAUCUGUAAGUCAGUGGUGAAAUCUCACAGCUUAACUGUGAAACUGCCAUUGAUACUGCAGGUCUUGAGUGUUAUUGAAGUAGCUGGAAUAAGUAGUGUAGCGGUGAAAUGCAUAGAUAUUACUUAGAACACCAAUUGCGAAGGCAGGUUACUAAGCAACAACUGACGCUGAUGGACGAAAGCGUGGGGAGCGAACAGG
rnacentral:rRNA from 1 species